rnacentral:rRNA from 1 species
GAUGAACGCUGGCGGCGUGCCUAAUACAUGCAAGUCGAGCGAACGGACGAGAAGCUUGCUUUUCUGAUGUUAGCGGCGGACGGGUGAGUAACACGUGGAUAACCUACCUAUAAGACUGGGAUAACUUCGGGAAACCGGAUCUAAUACCGGAUAAUAUUUUGAACCGCAUGGUUCAAAAGUUAUUGACGGUCUUGCUGUCACUUAUAGAUGGUUCCGCGCUGCAUUAGCUAGUUGGUAAGGUAACGGCUUACCAAGGCAACGAUGCAUAGCCGACCUGAGAGGGUGAUCGGCCACACUGGAACUGAGACACGGUCCAGACUCCUACGGGAGGCAGCAGUAGGGAAUAUUCCGCAAUGGGCGAAAGCCUGACGGAGCAACACCGCGUGAGUGGUGAAGGUCUUCGGAUCGUAAAACUCUGUUAUUAGGGAAGAACAUAUGUGUAAGUAACUGUGCACAUCUUGACGGUACCUAAUCAAAAAGCCACGGCUAACUACGUG